CUUACAGCCAUGCUGAGCGUGAGUAUUGGUCAGUCCACCUCAUGGGAUUGCCUUCAAUCAGAACCUUUUGGAUGUUCCAACUGCAUCCAUACACUGAAACUCUAAUUAUGAUUCAACACCUACAAACCAGCCCAGUGUUAAGUAAUCAUAAAGAUAUAAAAAAUUAAAAGCUGUCCUUCAAUCUAAUGUUUGCAAUGACCACAGAGACGACCAUGUGCUGAUGUAAUGAAGUUCCUGGCGCAGGACAUUAUUAGCUGAUACUAAGUAGUCCAGCCAGCACAUGGUCUGCUUAGAAAAAUCCUUAAUAAG